rnacentral:rRNA from 1 species
GCCCAUCAGAAGGGGAUAACACUUGGAAACAGGUGCUAAUACCGUAUAACAAUCGAAACCGCAUGGUUUUGAUUUGAAAGGCGCUUUCGGGUGUCGCUGAUGGAUGGACCCGCGGUGCAUUAGCUAGUUGGUGAGGUAACGGCUCACCAAGGCCACGAUGCAUAGCCGACCUGAGAGGGUGAUCGGCCACAUUGGGACUGAGACACGGCCCAAACUCCUACGGGAGGCAGCAGUAGGGAAUCUUCGGCAAUGGACGAAAGUCUGACCGAGCAACGCCGCGUGAGUGAAGAAGGUUUUCGGAUCGUAAAACUCUGUUGUUAGAGAAGAACAAGGAUGAGAGUAACUGUUCAUCCCUUGACGGU